rnacentral:rRNA from 1 species
UUGGAGGCCAAGUCUGGUGCCAGCAGCCGCGGUAAUUCCAGCUCCAAUAGCGUAUAUUAAAGUUGUUGCAGUUAAAAAGCUCGUAGUUGAGUUUCGGGGUUCUACCGUUGGUCAGGCUUUGUCUGUACUGGUGUGUAGAAUUUCUACCUUCUGGGGAACCAUCAUGCUAUUAAUUUAGCGUGGUGGGAAACCAGGACCUUUACCUUGAAAAAAUUAGUGUGUUCAAAGCAGGCUUAUGUCUGAAUACAUUAGCGUGGAAUAAUAGUAUAGGACGGUGGUCCUGUUUUGUUGGUUUCUGAAUCACCGUAAUGAUUAAUAGGGAUAGUUGGGGGCAUUAGUAUUCAAUUGUCAGAGGUGAAAUUCUUGGAUUUAUUGAAGACUAACUUCUGCGAAAGCAUUUGCCAAGGAUGUUUUCAUUAAUCAAGAACGAAAGUUGGGGGAUCGAAGACGAUCAGAUACCGUCGUAGUCUUAACCAUAAACUAUGCCGACUAGGGAUCGGACGAUGUUAAUUUUUCUUGACUCGUUCGGCGCCUUACGGGAAAC